AGCGAUUAGCUACACUACGCUACAUUACACUACUAUACUAUAUUGCUUUACAAAUAUUACUAUUAUCUCCGCUACGCUAUAAACUAUCUUCUACUGUUACUCUUCACACUGUCACUACCCCCCUUUUUUAAUAAGAGCUGCCCUCAGUGAUUGUAUAGAUUGCUUGCUAGUAGAUAAUUGCAUUCCCAUAUUGUAAGUUCCGCUUGUUGAUAGCAGUAUAUCGAUCGCGUCCCCUAGAUAGCUUGUAUACGCGUUGUUAUUGAUUUCCUAAUGAGAUGGAAUUGGUGGAUUCUUUGGUUGCUAGAGGUUGUGUGCAGAGAAGCAAAAAGAAUUUCUUUCUCCUU
rnacentral:sRNA from 1 species